rnacentral:rRNA from 1 species
GAUGAACGCUGGCGGCGUGCUUAACACAUGCAAGUCGAACGAUGAAGCCCAGCUUGCUGGGUGGAUUAGUGGCGAACGGGUGAGUAACACGUGAGUAACCUGCCCUUGACUCUGGGAUAAGCCUGGGAAACUGGGUCUAAUACUGGAUAUGACUUCUCAUCGCAUGGUGGGGGGUGGAAAGAUUUAUUGGUCUUGGAUGGACUCGCGGCCUAUCAGCUUGUUGGUGAGGUAAUGGCUCACCAAGGCGACGACGGGUAGCCGGCCUGAGAGGGUGACCGGCCACACUGGGACUGAGACACGGCCCAGACUCCUACGGGAGGCAGCAGUGGGGAAUAUUGCACAAUGGGCGCAAGCCUGAUGCAGCGACGCCGCGUGAGGGAUGACGGCCUUCGGGUUGUAAACCCCUUUCAGUAGGGAAGAAGCGAGAGUGACGGUACCUGCAGAAGAAGCGCCGGCUAACUACGUG